rnacentral:rRNA from 1 species
AAUCAACGCUGGCGGCGUGCCUAACACAUGCAAGUCGAACGCGAAAGUCCCGCAAGGGAUUAGUAGAGUGGCAAACGGGUGAGUAACACGUGGGUGACCUGCCUUCGAGUGGGGGAUAACGUCCCGAAAGGGACGCUAAUACCGCAUGACAUCCUGCUUUUUAACAGGCGGAGAUCAAAGCUGGGGAUCGCAAGACCUAGCGCUUGAAGAGGGGCCCGCGUCUGAUUAGCUAGNGGUGAGGUAACGGCUCACCAAGGCGACGAUCAGUAUCCGGCCUGAGAGGGCGGACGGACACACUGGGACUGAGACACGGCCCAGACUCCUACGGGAGGCAGCAGUGGGGAAUUGUUCGCAAUGGGCGCAAGCCUGACGACGCAACGCCGCGU